AAAAAAAAAAAAAAAUUACUCGUGGGUUCUCUGCAUUCCAAUUUUAGUGGGCAUCUUGCGUGUUAUCUCUACCCCUAUUUGGGGAGGGCUUUAUUUUCUUCAAUGGCGUCCCCACAUCAGGGCCUGUGUCUUGCAUUCUCCCCCUGAGUGGGUAGCAGAGGUGUUAUCACAGAAGGAAGGUUCUGGGGAGUUGAAUCACAACAGGCCUCCGCCGCUAGCAGGGCGGGCGCGCCACGGACUAGGCCGCUUGGCAGGUUCGCUUUUCUUCUUUCCAUUGCGCUGAACUCAAGGAGGAGAAGGGAAAGUGGGAGCUGCUGCACUCACGGCUGAGUGUGCAUGGCUGGUAGGUGACAGCCUGACGUCUGUUCGGUGACCCCAGCCCCUCGGAGGGCCCGCGGAGACUCAGAAUUAGCUGCACUUACCACGGUGCCCGCGGGUGGGGAUGCGGAUCCACACCCCAGAGGAAGGCCGCUCCCGGGCCGCGAGGACCUCGCUGGCGGCCGCUUGGGGGCAGCAGACGCCCGCCCUGCGGGGGAGGUGGGGCCUGCAGACCGCGGGGCCGCUCUCGGAGCCCGGCAGGCCUGAGCAGUGGCGGCCCCGUGUUCCGGAAGCCCGGCCCCGGGCGCUGUGAGGGGCACCUGGGGACGCUCCGCUAGUCUGUGUCCCAGCCCUGAGCUCAGCGGAAGACUGCAGAGUCCUGGGCCCACGAGAAUUCCGGCAGAAUCAGGCCUCUGGAUGUUCCAGGGAUGUGUCCUGGUUCCCUGGCUGUUAUUACAAAGCAGCAGUUCAGAUCCAUGGAACUUCUCGACUGUUCUGCCUCUCGGUGACUUGAUCCAUCAACUGAAUAGUACAGCGUCUGAUCAGAUUUUAGAGAGGGUGUGUGAAGUCACUGCGAAGCUUGUGAAAAUGGAGAUUCCUGACUCCGACUCCCAGAGGGGUUCUGAUUCAGUUGACCCGAGCUUCAGAAGUUUUAAUUUUUAACAAGUAGCUCAGGUUCACACCAGAAUUCCACCUGUCUGGCCAACUGGGGAUGUCAGAAGAGGCACAACAGAUUGUGCAUCCAGCUCUGGCUGUGGACCUGUGGUGUCGUGAUGACCUGGGAUCAUCAGAGAGCAGGAGGCCAUUCCCUUUGGUGCCUCUCAUUCCCUGUGUGCUGGCCAGCACAUCAUUAGGCCUGAUGGAAGGCUCUGCCAGGCCCUUCCCCACCGAGGGCCUCAUCAAGUUUCCUUGACAGUAGCUGUCCUAAUGUGAGGUGGUGUCUCACUGUAUCCUGCGCCGUUUUGAUGAAGGAACAUCAGGUCAUGCUUCCUCUGCUGAACACCCUCUCAAGAGUAUAAGCCUCGGCCUUCCUGGUGGCCUCCCAAGCCUGAAGGAUUCCCAGUGACCUCUGGCCUCAUCUCUGGAUGAUGCCCUGUCCUUCCCCCAAGCUGUUUCCCAAGCCCAUCUAGCAGCCCCGAUGUCCUUCUGUCUCUGCCUGAUGUCUCCGCUUCACCGGUACUUCAUAUAAGGUCAGAUCUUCAGAAAGGACUUCUCUGUUAUUCCUACAAAAUCAGCAGUCCCUCCUGUGUCUCUGAAUCCCUCACUUGGUUUGCAGCCUUUCUUCUCUGCUGUAUAUGGAGCAUCCAGAAAUGCCACCUGGCACAUAGUAGGUGCUUAGUAUUUGCCAAAUGAGUGAAAGAAAACUAUAGUGAACUAUAAACUAAGACUUCUGAGAGUUAGUGACAUUUUUAGAUAUGAAUUUAUAGCCAGAUUCUUACCAAAUUCUAUUUGUUUUCAGUGGAUUCUCCUGGGUUUCCUGGUAUAUAAUCAUAUCAUCUACAAAUAAUGACAAUUUUCCUAUACUCCCCCCUUCUUUCCCUUUUUAUAUUUUCCAGAAUAAUAAAUAACAGGGGUGAUAGCAACAGCUUUAUCUUGCUUCUGACCUUCCAUGAAGUGUCUCUGAAAUUCCACCAUGGAUGGCAAGUUAGUGUUGGCUUUAGAUCUGAGGGAUGAAUUUUGUCAUGCUGAGGAAGUACCGCGGGCUCCUGUUUUACUCAGGACGCUUUGAUUACAGCCAAGGAAGAAUGAAGGGGAGAAGAAUGAAGGGUUAAUGCUCAUCAGCCCUCUUCAGCACCUAUUGGGUAUUAAGCUUUCUCUUUGACUCCUAGUGUGGGCAUUAUGGGUUUCCUACAACUGGACCGUCCUUGCGUCUGUACCUUUUAAACCCAGAUGUGUCCCUGUGAUGUGCAGCGAGCCCUUGUGGGCAGGGCCAGCCAUGUCCCCUCGUCCCUUCGUCCCCUCAGGAGGCUUGCUGGGAACCGAGGCUGGCCGCGGUGGCAAGCUUCCCGGCGAGCCACUCAGGAUGGCUUAUUGUUUCUGAAUUAAACAAACGAAGAAUGAGAUUCAAUUAGAGGCAGCAUAAUGUAAACCGAGAUGGAUUUAUAUUUAGCAUGGCAGAGACAUGUGGGAAAGAAGGAAACUUCGUUCGUUUCAGAGUUGGGAAGUCUGCUUUGAAGUGUGGGGCUGGGCUUUCUGGAUGCUGUCUUCACCUCCCCCAGACGCGCCCCCAGAUGUUUCCCUUGAGAUACUAAGCUUCUUGGGAAAGCAGCAGAGUUCAGUGGACAGCGAGCUUCUGAUGCUUGCAUGUAGGAGCCGCACUGUCGCUGUUAAAGCAGCUUGCAAGGACGAGGCUACAUUGUCCCCAUUUCCUCAUUUCCAAGUGGGUUGAUGGAACCUCAAAAUCCUGGUAUAAUGUGAUUAAAGAAGAAAAGAGUAGAUUUUUUUGUUUUGUUUUGUUUUAAUGAUGAAGAUGUCACUACAUUGAAUUUACUUUUCCCAGCCAAAUCCUAGCGAGUGCCUUACAGGGGAACAGCACCCUCUUUGUUAUAAUUCUGUUUGGGUGGGCUUUCGGCAGGCAAAUGAGAUGGGAGAUUUCAUGGAUGUUUCUUAAUUGAGAAGAGAACAUGAAUGUGAAACCUACAAUAGUAACAGCAAGGACCAGCACAGGACAAAGCCCACUGCAAACUGAGUGCCAAGUGUCAUAGUCUGUAGUUUAAUCCCCACAUCGAACUGUCCUCAGGAGGCGGGUGUCGUCAGCCUGGUUAGGGCUGCGUGCUGCGUGCCAGCAGCUGGGCGGGGCGGUGGGUCUUCAUCAGGAACAGAAAGACAGGAGACUUGCUUCUUUCUCUUCCAGACCUGUGUCUUUGGGAUUUUCCAUAAUCUCUUCUGGUUUGCUGGGGCCUUUUUGUAAGAGGACAGCCUGUUCCAUGGAGAUGUCGUUCAUUUGCUGGGAGCUGCCCUGAAGGAAGGAAUCAGGAGGGAAUAACCGAUACAGAUUUGUAGGCGUGACUUUAUUUUGUAACAGGGAUUUUAGAGUUUAUAGCAGGAAGAAAGCAAAGGUGAGUCCAGGGCUCUUGUUGCCUGGGUAAAGAGAAAUUGAGCUCGGGCUUCCAGAGUAAGAAGGAAGUGUUAAGCGAGUGACCAGCAUGUCUCCUUUGGAGAACCUCUGGGAGCAGCCUGGGGGAGAGGGAGCCAGGCCUACAAAAUGUCUCGAAACUGCCUCUGGGGAAGCCAAAUCUAGGGCUCACCCUCCAGGAAAGAAGAAAAUUUUGGAUGAGCAGAAACAAAGUCUUCCUGGAAUUUAAACGUGGACCCUGCAUUUCUCUAAUCGCUUUGCGUAAAGGAAUAUUUUGUUGUUUUGGAAAAGAAGCAGAAACUUGUUUAAAUGUGUGUUUUCUUUUAAUUAAUUAUGUUUUUCUAAACACUAAAGCAUCAUGACUUUGUGUUCCCUCCUCCCCACUUCCCCUCUCUUCUCUCAGCCCUUUUCCCCUUCUCCCUGCUCCCUCCCCCUAGAAAGCAUAGACUGGGGCUGAACUAGUUCAUGGAGACCAGCCUUCACGCAGGGGAGUCUGUGGGACAAAGGGUCUUCUGCAAUCAUGCUGUUUUAGGAAGAUUAGGAAAAAUGAAUAACUUCCUUGGAAAAAUUGGUUUGGAGGAUUGUUUUCUUCGUUAGACCUCUGGAAAAAAUUCAGUGAUAUUGCAUGAAGGGAAAAGAAUUAAUACAGCUCUUCCUCCCCUUUUCUUUAUUUUUAUAUCCAGGAGUCACUGGAAAAAUCAGACCUUUUCCCAUAUCACAGACCCAGCAGCAGUUUGGGCGUGCUCUUGCCUGUAUAUAAAAAGCAUGUCAAGACCGAUUAAAUUAUCUAAUUAAAAUAAUGACCACAGAGAGCCUGUUUAUUUUGGCCUGAAGAAGGUCAGCUCCAAGGGCCCCUUCUGUCCUGCUGAGGGUCCCUCUUCAGCCACAAGCACACACAAGACCCAUGAUGACCUGGCUCCUAAUAACCUGCUCCUAGACACGUCAGAGUGGGACUCAUGCCACCAGUGGGGACAGGACUCAUGCCAGCUGGGACAAAAGACCAAUCUUUAAGACUCUAGACGUCCGUCUGUCUUUGUAUCUGUAUCUGUAUCGGUAUGGGUAUCUGCGCUGAUACUGUACUUUGUAUCAGUCUCUGUAUCGAAGCAGAACUUUGUAUCAGUCUCUGUUCACCACAGCAACUUGAAGUGUGAGAAGUUCUGGUAAGGGUUAUUUUUCAUCUAUACAAACAUGGACAAUUGUUUGACUCAGCUGACUGUAGUCUUGGGUCCUUUUUGCAUCGUGAAGAUAAAACCUCCACAGAGCAUGUUGACCGGUAACAAGUGAAAAAAAAACGCUGCCAGAUAUUUUUCUUGGUGGUGUUUACACAGGGCUAGGUAAUUGUUUGGACUAAUUUGUUGUGAGAUUGUUGGGCUGUCUUGACAAUGUGCAGCUCAGCCUGAAGGGCACAUUCCCGGGACCCUGUGCCACCGUGAGGAUGCAGAGUAUUAAUGAGGGCUCAUUCCAUCAGGCUAGAUCAGGGUUCUUUGGCCUGCGGUAAGAUUUGGGGGCAGAAUGUAAAUAUGCUGCACAUGGUUUAAUUUCAGGGAAGCCCGGGAGGAAUGCACUGAGCCUGUCAUCACUGCAAGCCCAGCGCAGGGUGUCAGCCCUGUGCAGGGUGUAGAAAUGUUUCUGUGGGCUUCAGAGACUUGCUGUUUGGUCUUGCAGUGAUUGAACAAAGUGCUCCCUUUUCGGGUGGUUGGUUCAAUAUCCUGUAAGUCCUUAGAAUGGAGGCCACAGCCUUGGAAAGCCAGAAUGUAAAGCCUCAUUCUUACUUUCUCCCACGGUCCCAGGAGAUGACAGUUGGAUGAGCACUCUGCAGAGGGGCGCAGGGAGGCAGCCGUUUAUUCAAGGGAAGGGGAAAUGUUGCAGCAACAGUCCUGCCAUUGCAAGCUGGGUUGCCCCCCAUGAAACUCAAGGAGGCAUCUCAGCAAGUUUCAAGAUUUCCAUCCUCCUGUAGCUGGGACUUUCGGCUAAAGCUCUAGGAACAAGGACAUGACUCGGGACUGGCUAUGGUUACGAAGAAGCUGAGAAGCGCACAGAACUCUAAGAAGCAGGCACAUUUGGGAUUUGCUAUCAAUCUCAAACCCCAGCAGCCCAGCCUGGGGUCCCUGUCAGGUUUCUCACUAGUGGGGAAGACCUCAGGUCCAGGCGACUGUUAUCCGGGAGCAGGAGCUGGUUCUUUCCUUUUGGACUCCUGGGUGUCAGGCUGGCUCAGUUCUGCAGCUUCGGGACAUCAAGCAGGAGGUUGGUGUCACUUACUCUGACAUGUGAUGUAGCUCUAGACUGUUCCAGGCUUUCUGGUGUGUUUGUUUAACGGGAUUUGCCAUCUGGAGUUCAGAAAGCUGACUGAUCCAAAGAGAGGGAUUUUGCAGUGGGCUCUUCAGUUUUCCGAAGCUCAAGUGUAGCUUCUUUCAUCGUUCUUUGCGACGGCCCCUGCUCCGGUGUAAAUGACAUGUUAGGUCACUUAGUUCUUCAAGGAUGACAGGUGCCUGACCACAGGUGGGGAUAACACCUGAAGUCCCCACGGGCCUAUUGCCACUGCUCUCAGCCUUCUGCUGGACUCACAAACUUUAUGAUGUUGCCAACAGGCACUUCUUCCCCUGGCUCCUCUUGGAAGCAGCUAGGACCUUCAUCAGGAACCCAGCUAAUAAAAAAACCACAUUAUUUCCUCAUGCUCUGGGAUAGCUCUGACUCAUGAUCAAUAAACCACACUGUACUGUCUUUGGAAAUGGUAGCAGAAAAACUUUAUGUAAAUGUAAGUUAGGGAAAUAUCCAGUCCUAUUUUACUAAAGUCCUGACCCCUAAAAUGGCAGGUAUAUAUACAUUAGGAUAAUUUGGGUGACAUUUUAGCUUGGAAAAUCUGAGCAACUUUUCCAUAAUUGUGUCAGUUCCCUUUUCACUGGGCCCACAGGGAUUUAAACACAAGAACAAUCUCAGAGGACAUCUGAGUUGAGAUAAAACACGGGGUUAGCAGGUAUUUUGGCCGACUCAGAGCCUAGGUUCAAAUUCUGGCUCUGCACCUUACUAGCUAUGUGAUAUUUGGCAAGUUACUUCACCUUUCUGGGUCUCAGUUUCCUUAUCUGCAAGGGUAGCUAUGAAGUUUAAAGGAAUUUAAAUAGGAAAAUAUAUAAAGCAUUCAGAACUUCGCUUGGUACCAGGCAAGUACAUGGUAUUAGGUUGGUGCAAAAGUAAUCAGGUUUUUGCCAUCACUUUCAAUGGCAAAAACCUAAUUACUUUUGCACCGACCUAAUAUAAAUAUUAGCUGUCAUUGUGGAGUCUUAUUACUGUCUUCAUAUGACCAGACAUCACUGAUCCCCUGAGCCAAUCCUCUGCAUGAGAAUGAACCAGUCCGAGGCCAGGCGUGGUGGUUCACACCCAGCACUUUGGGAGGCCGAGGUGGGUGGAUCUCUUGAGGUCAGGAGUCCGAGACCAGCCUGAUCAAC